UACGGAGGGUGCAAGCGUUGUCCGGAUUUAUUGGGUUUAAAGGGUGCGUAGGCGGUCUUUUAAGUCAGUGGUGAAAUCCUGCAGCUCAACUGUAGAAUUGCCAUUGAUACUGAAAGACUUGAGUACAGACGAGGUAGGCGGAAUUUAUGGUGUAGCGGUGAAAUGCAUAGAUACCAUAAAGAACACCUAUUGCGAAGGCAGCUUACUAGGCUGUAACUGACGCUGAGGCACGAAAGUGUGGGGAUCAAACAGG
rnacentral:rRNA from 1 species